rnacentral:tmRNA from 1 species
GGGGGUGACCGGCUUUGACGGUCUUGUACUUUGAGAGACGUGCGACGCGGUGGAAGGAUACUGACCACCUAAAAACGUAUUCAAUCAAACUUGCCAAGAACACUCUUGCAAGCGUAAAGUCCCCGUACUUCGGUAUGAAGGAUUUUGCGUUCGCUUACGCGUAAAAGCUUCGCGCUUUCGCCUGAGCGACGUCUCGCUAUCCCGGGUUCUCGUAGCCGGAUAACGGGGCGGAAUUCUCUACGAGAUCGGUAUCUGAGGCUUCCCUUCCUCAGGCUUAAAAGACGGGAUCAGGCAGGAACGUUUUCGCAACCGUUCCUAUGUUCCUGCCGAAGCUCAAACGGUAGCUACGCGUCGUAGACUCGCUCUCAAAGCAGGAUUCGGACGCGGGAUCAUACCCCGCCACCUCCACUA